rnacentral:lncRNA from 1 species
ACCGUUUGAUCAAAAGUGACCUAGCUGUCUGAUUUGUCUGAACGGGCGCAAUUCCUAUUGGACACAUUUAUUCCCGCCAGCUUUAUAUCUCUUCACAUAAAAAAUAAAAAAAAUCAUGCAUUUCCAUCUUCUUCUUUCACUCGCUAUAAACCUCCCUCAUUGUGUCAACUGUAACACAUACAAAGCAACCAUUUUUAUUCGCUUUCUUUUCCCCAAUCUCGUACCUUUACAACUUUAAACCAUCUUCACUCCAC